UGAUGAGCUUGAGCCUACAAAUUCGACC
rnacentral:piRNA from 1 species